AAAUACUCCUGACUGACCGAUAGUGAACCAGUACCGUGAGGGAAAGGCGAAAAGAACCCCGGCGAGGGGAGUGAAAAAGAACCUGAAACCGUGUACGUACAAGCAGUGGGAGCACGCUUAGGCGUGUAACUGCGUACCUUUUGUAUAAUGGGUCAGCGACUUAUAUUCUGUAGCAAGGUUAACCGAAUAGGGGAGCCGAAGGGAAACCGAGUCUUAACUGGGCGUUAAGUUGCAGGGUAUAGACCCGAAACCCGG
rnacentral:rRNA from 1 species